rnacentral:rRNA from 1 species
CUAGCCGUAAGCGAUGGAUACUAGGCGUUGUGAGUAUCGACCCUCACAGUGUCGUAGCUAACGCGUUAAGUAUCCCGCCUGGGGAGUACGCGCGCAAGCGUGAAACUCAAAGGAAUUGACGGGGGCCCGCACAAGCGGUGGAGUAUGUGGUUUAAUUCGAUGCAACGCGAAGAACCUUACCAGGACUUGACAUGUCGCGAAUCUCAGGGAAACUUGAGAGUGCCUUCGGGAGCGCGAACACAGGUGGUGC